UGUGUAUUGGAGGUCAUCUAAAGCCUCUUCAAUGCCUCCAAAAGUUUGCUAUUACUGAAGACAUUCUUCAUCAGGAAAAUCAUCUACUAGAAUAUGUGGGCCAGAAGAAAUCUGAUUACAGAAUUUUGAUAUGGAGUUCAGCAUGUGUUAGAAACAACUUUUGCCCUUUGACAACACAAGACAGCCCUUGCUGCAUCAGACCAGCAAUCUGCCUUGUCCUGUAAUCAGGCAACAGCGACAAGAAGUGCUCACGAGGGAGCAGAGAUAUGGAGGCUGGAUAAAAAAAUGAAUAACAGUUUCAGUGGUGCUUGGAAUUAUUCCCGUUGGAUUGUGAACUUGGCAGCGCAGAAUCUGAACCUGCUUUCCUCCUAAUUCCCUGAUGCGUAUCACUGCCAGCCCAGAGCCACACGCACACGUUGCAGGAGCCAUGUGAAGAAGGGCAGAAGGAUACAAAGCAGAAGGCUGAGAGGUUGGAGCAAAAGGCUGGAGGUGGUGAGA